rnacentral:rRNA from 1 species
AUGGCUCAGUGAGGCCUUGGGACUGGCUCAGAGAGGUCGGCAACGACCACUCAGAGCCGGAAACUUGGUCAAACUUGGUCAUUUAGAGGAAGUAAAAGUCGUAACAAGGUUUUGUCUUCAAGUCUUGAAGAUGAUCAUUAUUAAUGAUCCUUCUACAGUAAAACUUACGGAAGCCUUUGCGUCCCGAAAGGGUCGGUCUCGUACGACUAUAAACAAAUAAUGACGAGCCAUAAUCGCAAGUCUGGCCUUUAGGGGCCGGGCAACACUGUCAAAUUGCGGGAACCCCCUAAAGUCUCUUACACUAAGCCGGGGCCGAAAGGUCACGGUGGCCAGGGUAAUGCCCUCGGGUACAGUCACAGCUAAGAGAAUAGAUCACCUAUUUUAGGUGUGAAAAUGGGCAAUCUGCAGCCAAGUCCUAAGGCCGCCGACACGGUAGUUAUGGAUGCAGUUCACAGGCCAAAUGGUAGUGGGUGAGGCGAUGCCUUGCUUAAGAUAUGGUCGGGCCCCUUGGUAAACUUUGGGGAUAAUUUACUAAAUUAACAAAAGCCGUUCCGUAGGUGAACCUGCGGAAGGAUCAUUACUGAGUUAGGGUCCCCUGGGCCCGAACCUCCCAACCCUUUGUCUACUUGACCUCUGUUGCUUCGGCGGGCCCGUCCUUUACCGGACCGCCGGAGGACCGUCGCCCUGCGGCGUCCUCUGGCCCGUGCCCGUCGAUGGCCAACCUUCAAAACUCUAUGUUGAAAUCGUGUUUAUCUGAAUCCACAAAAAAAAAAUAAAAGCAAAACUUUCAACAACGGAUCUCUUGGUUCUGGCAUCGAUGAAGAACGCAGCGAAAUGCGAUAAGUAAUGCGAAUUGCAGAAUUCCAGUGAGUCAUCGAAUCUUUGAACGCACAUUGCGCCCUUUGGCAUUCCGAAGGGCAUGCCUGUUCGAGCGUCAUUAUCGCCCCCCUCAAGCCCUGUGCUUGGUGUUGGACGGCCUGGUCGAGGUGCGCCCCGACCCCUCCCAAAGACAAUGACGGCGGCCUGCGGUUCCCCCGGCACACUGAGCUUUCAUCGAGCACGUGUCGGAUUACUGGGAGCGCGGGCCACGGUCCUCUUCCUAGUGGCUAGGAAACUUCACACAAGGUUGACCUCGGAUCAGGUAGGAAUACGCGCUGAACUUAAGCAUAUCAAUAAGCGCAGGAAAAGAAACCAACAGGGAUUGCCUUAGUAACGGCGAGUGAAGCGGCAACAGCUCAAAUUUGAAAUCUGGCCUCUUGGGGUCCGAGUUGUAAUUUGUAGAGGAUGUUUUGGGUACCGCCCCGGUUUAAAUUUCUUGGAACAGAAUGUCAAAGAGGGUGAGAAUCCCGUCUUGGACCGGCGGUAGGGCCUGUGUAAAACUCCUUCGACGAGUCGAGUUGUUUGGGAAUGCAGCUCAAAAUGGGUGGUAAAUUUCAUCUAAAGCUAAAUAUUGGCCAGAGACCGAUAGCGCACAAGUAGAGUGAUCGAAAGAUGAAAAGCACUUUGAAAAGAGAGUUAAACAGUAUGUGAAAUUGUUGAAAGGGAAGCGCUUGCAACCAGACUUGCACGCGGCGGUUCCCCUUGCCUUUUGGUCAGGGUACUCCGUCACGUUCAGGCCAACAUCGGUUUUGGGGGCCAGUUAAAGGCCCUGGGAAUGUACCUACCUACGGGUAGACUUAUAGACCAGGGUGCCAUGUGGCCUCCCGGGACCGAGGAACGCGCUUCGGCUCGGAUGUUGGCGUAAUGGUUGUCAGCGACCCGUCUUGAAACACGGACCAAGGAGUCUAACAUCUAUGCGAGUGUUUGGGUGUCAAACCCGGAACGCGGAAUGAAAGUGAACGGAGGUAGGAAGCUUCGGCUGCACUAUCGACCGAUCCUGAAGUUUACGGAUGGAUUUGAGUAAGAGCAUAGCUGUUGGGACCCGAAAGAUGGUGAACUAUGCCUGAAUAGGGUGAAGCCAGAGGAAACUCUGGUGGAGGCUCGCAGCGGUUCUGACGUGCAAAUCGAUCGUCAAAUUUGGGUAUAGGGGCGAAAGACUAAUCGAACCAU